rnacentral:rRNA from 1 species
UUUUGGUUAAGUUAAUAAGGGCGCACGGUGGAUGCCUUGGCACUAGGAGUCGAUGAAGGACGGCACUAACACCGAUAUGCCUCGGGGAGCUGUAAGUAAGCUUUGAUCCGGGGAUUUCCGAAUGGGGGAACCCACUAUCUUUAAUCGGAUAGUAUCUACACGUGAAUUCAUAGCGUGAUGAGGACAGACGCAGGGAACUGAAACAUCUAAGUACCUGCAGGAACAGAAAGAAAAUUCGAUUCCCUGAGUAGCGGCGAGCGAAACGGGAAGAGCCAGAACCAAAGAGCUUGCUCUUUGGGGUUGUAGGACACUCUAUACGGAGUUACAAAAGAAUGUAUUAGACGAAGCGACUUGGAAAGGUCCGCGAUACAAGGUAAAAGCCCUGUAGUCAAAAGUUCAUCCCCUCCAGAGUGGAUCCUGAGUACGGCGGAACACGUGAAAUUCCGUCGGAAUCUGGGAGGACCAUCUCCCAAGGCUAAAUACUACCUAGUGACCGAUAGUGAACCAGUACCGUGAGGGAAAGGUGAAAAGCACCCCGGG